GAUGAACGCUGGCGGCGUGCCUAAUACAUGCAAGUCGAGCGAACGGACGAGAAGCUUGCUGUUCUGAUGUUAGCGGCGGACGGGUGAGUAACACGUGGAUAACCUACCUAUAAGACUGGGAUAACUUCGGGAAACCGGAGCUAAUACCGGAUAAUAUUUUGAACCGCAUGGUUCAAAAGUGAAAGACGGUCUUGCUGUCACUUAUAGAUGGAUCCGCGCUGCAUUAGCUAGUUGGUAAGGUAACGGCUUACCAAGGCAACGAUGCAUAGCCGACCUGAGAGGGUGAUCGGCCACACUGGAACUGAGACACGGUCCAGACUCCUACGGGAGGCAGCAGUAGGGAAUCUUCCGCAAUGGGCGAAAGCCUGACGGAGCAACGCCGCGUGAGUGAUGAAGGUCUUCGGAUCGUAAAACUCUGUUAUUAGGGAAGAACAUAUGUGUAAGUAACUGUGCACAUCUUGACGGUACCUAAUCAGAAAGCCACGGCUAACUACGUG
rnacentral:rRNA from 1 species